GCGUCACAUAAAAGCGAAGCGGGAGCGGCUGUCCGUGGUGAUUAGAAAAGCGGUAACAGGAGAGUUGUCGUUCCGGUCAGCUUCGCAUGAUUCUUUUUUGACUGCGGUGACCAGCGACAAAAUCGGACUGCGGCGAAAUGGAAAUUGAAGGUGGUGGUGGUGCAGCGAUUAGAGAUCUUGGCUCUUUCUUCAAGCUCACUGAAGUCUACAUAUGGGACGAUGGCUCGACGGAGACACGAGAAAUAUCUUUGCUUCCUGAGUCCACUAAAUCAUCUAGAGACUUGGACGAUAUUAGCUUCAGCAUCCCAGCUUCAACUAUUGAAAUAAGUGAAAUAUUAGAGAAUGAACAACUGAUCAAACAGAUGGAUGCAUUAGGGCUUCCCAUUUCCUUCUUGUCUAACAAGGAGACGAGCAACAAAAUGAAGAAAAGCAAAAGGAAAGGUGCUCGCUUGAAGCCUUCCCGUAGUCAUAAAGAAGCCAAGGAAGAAGCAUUAGAAUUUACCCAAGUGAGUGGGUUGGAGAUUGUAUCUCCUUCUGUUUUGAAUGAUAGCACAAGCAAUUCCUUAUGUUGCAUGUCAAUGAUGGGCCAAAGUGAAUCCUGUUUUUAUGAUGUUGCAGUGGGUAUCGAUGAAACUGAAUGCCCCACUUGUGAUUCAGCAAGUUCAACUAAGAUUAUUUCUGGUGCUGUCAGGGAGAAAAACCUUGGGGGGACAUCUCACUGCCUGUCUAAUGCUGGCCAUGAAUACGAGUCUGUACCACACAAUGAUGUUAAGGAUGAUGAUAAUGGAGGACAAAGUUUGAGAAAUUCAGAUGGUGCACCUCCAGGAGUGUGCUGUCUAACAGAUGCAGGUGGCAACCAUGGUGAGACGGAAAUUGCCAACAGGUUAAUGGAGUGUGAGUGUCUAGAAGAGUCAUCUGCUGCUAACCAUCAUGAAGAAGGUGAUAAGUUUUGCAAUGAUAGUGGCACAGAUCAUUUGGGGAUUUCUGAACCUGUUGAGUUUUCUCAGAUUUCAGAAGUGGUUGGACAUGGCGAAGUAGACAGUUAUAACUACUAUGGUGAUUUUGGAGAUUGGAGGGUGUAUUGGGACUCUUUGUACAUGAGGUAUUACUUCCACAAUGUCAAAACAGACACUUGUACAUGGUAUCCACCCCCUGGUAUGGAACAUCUAGCAUCUGGCGAUAUCACUGAUGAAUUGAAUGAAGCAACUGCUGAAGUGACUGAAAUGGAUGGAAGGCCUUUCUUUUCCUGCAGUUCACUUAAUUAUCACGAGACAUCUGAGGGACCACCAAAUGAUGAGAGCUGUUUAAAUAAAUCAUCCGAUGAAGUUUCGAAGGAGAUUGGAGUUGCAACUGGCAACUCCAUGCCUGGUUUAACUAUAGUCCCUGCAAAUGGAAGUUUAGAGCAUGCGGAUGAAUGUCUUGUCAAUGGAAGUUGUGAUGAUGAAGUUACAUUGCACUUGCCAUCAGCUGUGCAGGAGUGUAUGCACAGCCUGAUGAGUACAGUCACGGACGAAGUUACCGAGGAGAGUGAUAUCUAUCUUGAAAUUGCUGAUCCCGCAACUGAUAAUUUGGAUCUCCAGCUUAACCCUGCCAUCAGAAAACCAAAAAAGAAAGAGAAAAAAACACGAGUCCAUAAGAAAUCAUCAAUGAAUAGUGAAGACCUUCAAAGUGAGCAGAUGUUUGAAGAGUUUUCUUCGAACAUCGCCAAAUAUUGGUGUCAAAGGUACACCUUAUUUUCCAGAUUUGAUGAUGGUAUAAGAAUGGAUGAGGAAGGAUGGUUUUCUGUUACACCAGAGCCUAUAGCCAAGCAUCAUGCAUUGCGUUGUAUGGGGGACACCAUAAUUGACUGUUUCACUGGUGUUGGUGGAAAUGCCAUUCAAUUUGCACAGAGGUACAAACAUGUCAUCGCAAUUGAUAUUGAUCCGAAGAAGAUUGAUUAUGCAUUUCACAAUGCUUCCAUCUAUGGAGUUAGUGAUCAAAUAGACUUUAUAGAAGGGGACUUUUUUGCUUUGGCAUCAAAACUGAAGGCAGACAGUGUCUUCUUGUCACCUCCUUGGGGAGGACCUGCAUAUUCUAAAGUAAAAACUUACAACAUCAAGACCAUGCUUAAGCCACGUGAUGGAUAUUCUCUCUUUAACACUGCAAAGCAAAUUGGUCAUAGAAUCAUCAUGUUUCUCCCGAGAAAUGUUGACCUCAACCAGUUGGCAGAGUUGUGUUUAACUUCCAAUCCUCCAUGGUCACUAGAGGUUGAGAAGAACUUUAUGAAUGGCAAGUUGAAGGCAAUAACUGCUUACUUCAGCAACACGGUGAUUGAAGGACAAUGAAUUAGCUUAAUGCACGUGCAUGCAGGUGGAAGGAACUGAUGUCAACAUCUUGUGGAUGUCGAGCGGUUAUAAAGGGGAAUGUUAGCUGGCUUGGACUACCUGUACAGUUAUGUGUAGUCGCAGUCUCGGACAAAUAAUUCAGCAUCCCCCCUUUUGAAGACCGCUUUUUUUGUUCAAGUGUUUCAGAGUUAUUACUAUCAAAUUGGUAGAUAAUGACCUUUACUAACAGUUGCAAGGUAAAAAUCUGGUAUUCCAAGCUUGUUUAUUGCACAUGGUUUCUUGGACUUAUCAACUUUGAACUUAUUCUCUUUUUUUUGGGAUCCUUAACCUUAAAUCACCAAUAGGUAAUUAUUUUUUUAACUUUCCUGGAAUCAUCUGCUGCAAGCUGGAAAAUGUGUCAUGGGAUAUACCAUUAUAACCAUAGUAUAAUUCGUCAGAGAUUGUCCCUUUUUGGUGCUAAUUAAAGUUGCAUGCUUGUAUUCCUUAACAAAACCCCUCUCUACUUGAAGUCUCCAAGACGGGAAAGACUCGAGUCUUUGGAACUUUCAAAUGCCAGCAAAGAGAUCUCCUGCACAAGGCUGCAUUUCUUGUUGAAAGAAAGGUAUUGCAGUUUAGUUAAAAAGCAGUUGAAUUUGAAGCCGUGUUUGUACACCCACUUUUUCUUUCCAUGGUAAAAUGCAACGUGUUUGGCCUAACAUCCGUGCUGUGUGAUUAUCAAUCAAUGUUUUGGUACAAAGGGAGGUGGGUAUGGGCUGGUGUGGGACGGUCAACCAAUGUCUGGGCUAUUCUUCUGUCCUGUGAUGUUGAAUGCCCAAGAAAAACAGCUAUCAUCGUACGUCACAAUUAAUAGUGUCAUUUUGAGGUUUUGAAAGGAAGGGGUGGCUAAUGUUCAGGUGGGUGCUCCUUUAGCUUCUAUGGCCCUCCGGAUCAAACUUAUAGCAAAGAGAUCAACAGAAUUAAUAA